rnacentral:snRNA from 1 species
AUAUAGGGCCCAAUUAGGUUCA